rnacentral:lncRNA from 1 species
UCACUACUAUGGCAAGAUCAAGACUGGAUCUAGGAGAUCUCGGUUCAAUAUGGAGAUUAUCCAGAGAUUCUACUGUUGGAGCCAGAUGCUAUAACUGAAGAGGGUUAAAACUGUCUCCUUUUGGGACACCGAAACAUAGAAGCCUGCCCGGGAAGAGCAGGGUAGAACUUAUAUUCUCUUUGUUCAGCUUCCCAGAGGAAUAAGAAGGCCAGAGUGAAGCCAGGAAAAAAAUUCUGGUAAUGAACUUACUUCACACCAAAGAGACAAGGAGUAGCAUCAUUACCUCAAGCAAUAUUGCCAGAGAAAAUCUUGACACAGAGAAGACAAGCUCAGUGCUUAAUGUGAAAAUUUAUCUGCACAUACAGAACCAGUCCAUAAUACAGCACUGUUCACCAUGGUGAAGACAUGGAAUCAACCAAGGUGAUUAUCAAAAGGGAAGAGGAAUGGAUUAAAAAAUAUAUGGUAGAUAUAGACCAUGGAAUCCUAUGCUGCCGUAAAAGAGAACAAAAUCAUGUCCUUUGAGGCAACAGCAUGGAUGCAGCUGGAAGCCGUUAUCCUAAGUGAAUUAACAGAGGAACAGUAAACCAAACACCACACGGUCUUACUUAAAAGUGGGAGCUAAACAUUGGGUACUCAUGGACAUAAAGAUGCCUCAAUAGAUUACGAGGACAAACAGGAUUAAAAAACAUGCGUACUAUCCUCACCAUGUGGGACACAGGAUCAUUUUUACCCCAAACCUCAACAUCAUGCAAUAUACCCAUGUAACAAGCCUGUACAUGUACCUCCUGAAUCUACAAAAAAAAUGACUUUUUUUUUAAGAAUUUGCUGCAAUCUUGGAAAAAUUCUUCUUCAAAGUCUUCUAAAAGCAUUUUAACUUUUUAUUUACAUUUGGAAAUUCAAGCCAUCUAAAAUGAAAUCUAGCAUAUGGUCUGACAUAGGUGCCAACAUUAUUUUUAUAUACAUAUCCAGUUAAGGUGGCAUUAUUUAUUGAGAAGAUGAAGCUUCCUCUAUGGCUCUACAGUUUCUCCUUUGUCAUAGAUUAGUUUUCUCCAUUUUUGUGGGUUUGUUUGUAAACCCUGUAUUCUGUUCCACUGGUCUAUUUAUCAAUCCUUGUUUCAAUCCACACUGUUUAUAGUAAAGUGUUAUAAGAUGAUUUUUAGCUAUUAGUAUAAAAUUGCUGAUUUGCAAUUAUUCGAGACUGACUUUAUUAUUUCCUGCUUUGCAUUUCUACAUAUCUUUUAGAAUCAGCUUGUCAUUUCCCAUCCCCUUCAAAAAACACUACCAUUUUUAUU